rnacentral:rRNA from 1 species
GCAGACGGGUGAGUAACGCGUGGGAACCUACCUUUAGGUACGGAACAACAGUUGGAAACGACUGCUAAUACCGUAUGUGCCCUAUGGGGGAAAGAUUUAUCGCCUAAGGAUGGGCCCGCGUUGGAUUAGCUAGUUGGUGGGGUAAAGGCCUACCAAGGCGACGAUCCAUAGCUGGUCUGAGAGGAUGAUCAGCCACACUGGGACUGAGACACGGCCCAGACUCCUACGGGAGGCAGCAGUGGGGAAUAUUGGACAAUGGGCGCAAGCCUGAUCCAGCCAUGCCGCGUGAGUGAUGAAGGCCCUAGGGUUGUAAAGCUCUUUCAGCGAGGAGGAUAAUGACGUUACUCGCAGAAGAAGCCCCGGCUAACUUCGUGCCAGCAGCCGCGGUAAUACGAAGGGGGCUAGCGUUGUUCGGAAUCACUGGGCGUAAAGCGCACGUAGGCGGACUUUUAAGUCAGGGGUGAAAUCCCGGGGCUCAACCCCGGAACUGCCUUUGAUACUGGAAGUCUUGAGUCCGAGAGAGGUGAGUGGAACUCCGAGUGUAGAGGUGAAAUUCGUAGAUAUUCGGAAGAACACCAGUGGCGAAGGCGGCUCACUGG